rnacentral:lncRNA from 1 species
ACAUCAUCUUGAUAGAGUCCCAUAGUGUCUCAAAGUGGGGAGGUUAGGAUGCUGGUUAGUCAUGGAGUAUUUUCAGAGUGGAAGUUGAUCAGUGACGUUUUGUCAGGGAUUGAUCCAAUUUAUAAACUAGAACUCCAAUUUAUGGACCUUCUCCAAAAGGUGUUGGCUCUAACUCAGAUGAUUAACAAAUGGAUGCCCACUAUGUUUUGUUUUUGUUUUUUGAGACAAGGUCUUUCUCUGUCACCCAGGCUGGAGUACGGGGUAAAAGAGAAAGAUUAUAAUGUAUAUUCAUUCAUUUAAUUCAUAAUCGUUCCUGUGGAUUUGAGAGUGGUUAUAUGGGCAGUCACCCAGGAACAAAGGACAAGAGGAUUGUCACUUAUGCCUUCAGGAAAUGUUUAUUGAAUGUCUACUAUGGGCCAGAAACAACAGACAGAAAUGCAGCUCUCAUUCUCGUGUGGGAGGCCCCAAACUACAAUUUCAAUAACACCAUUAAAAUCUUGGGCAACAAAGAUAAUAUGUAAUUACCUGAUAAAUUCGAAAGAUGUGAUGAACAAAGAAAAAAGAUCGUCUUGAGCCAGAAUACACACGUGUCCUUCCAGCGUGGAGAUUACUGUGAACUUGCAAACCAGCUUUCGUGCAGAAGGGGGCGAGAGAAUAGGUGGAAAAGAAUAUUGUCAAAUAAUUUUGAAAUUUAUCUCCUAACAUUUUCUGACCAUCUAUUAUUGAGAAAGGAAACAGUUUUUUAAAGCAAUGGCAUGAUUGUACAGUAAACCCUGAAGUGAAAUAUACCCAAAAAAUGUAUUUGUCAAGCAAUCACAUUUUGAUAACUUACAGACAUUUGCAAUUUAUCUUUCUUUUUUCCUCAAAUGGGGAAGAACAAAGUUAAUUUAAGUGAAAUGAAAUAAAAAUUAAAUUAAAAAAUGAAAAAAACCUUA